AGUGAACGCUGGCGGUAGGCCUAACACAUGCAAGUCGAACGGCAGCACAGUAAGAGCUUGCUCUUACGGGUGGCGAGUGGCGGACGGGAGAGGAAUACAUCGGAAUCUACUUUUUCGUGGGGGUUAACGUAGGGAAACUUACGCUAAUACCGCAUACGACCUACGGGUGAAAGCAGGGGAUCUUCGGACCUUGCGCGAUUGAAUGAGCCGAUGUCGGAUUAGCUGGUUGGCGGGGUAAAGGCCCACCAAGGCGACGAUCCGUAGCUGGUCUGAGAGGAUGGUCAGCCACACUGGAACUGAGACACGGUCCAGACUCCUACGGGAGGCAGCAGUGGGGAAUAUUGGACAAUGGGGGCAAGCCUGACCCAGCCAUACCGCGUGGGUGAAGAAGGCCUCCGGGUUGUAAAGCCCUUUUGUUGGGAAAGAAAAGCAGCAGGUUAAUACCCCGCGGUUCUGACGGUACCCAAAGAAUAAGCACCGGCUAACUUCGUG
rnacentral:rRNA from 1 species